GAUGUGAGACAUGCAAAUGAUGCAUGAUAAUGAGGUUCUGUAAGGUACUAAGAGAGUAACCAAUCAGAUGUGAGACAUGCAAAUGAGGUAUGAUAAUGAGGCUCUGUGAGGUACUGAGAGAGAGUAGCCAAUCAGAUGAGGAACAUGCAAAUGAGGCUUAGUGCAUAACCAAUCCGGGUAUGAGACACGCCUCUCCUAGGCCUAUAAAAGCAGCACCAGUUCUGGGCUUGAAGUCUUUUCGCCUCUGCAAUCAAGCUCUCCCAAUAAACGUGUGCAGAAGGAUCCUGUUGCAGCAUCGUUCUUGCUGGUUGAGUCCGGUGCGCACAAGAGGAAAAUACAUGAAUUCAUUUCAAUUUAUAUACUCAAUAUCAUUAUUAAGAGCCUACCCCAAAUAGGUGUUGCAGGUGCUAGUGGAUAUCAGCAAGUGCAAAGUCAAAAUUAAUUCCUCCUCCUUGGAGGCAGAACUCACAGAAGAAAGGGAAAUGUGCUUUCUCCUUUGAAUCAAAGACCAGCCAAAAUGAAUUGAUGUGAUAUAUCAGGAUAGAACUAAUCACUGGCCUGAUGACAGUGUUAUGAUAAAUACUUCAUAAGAUGAUAUUAGGAUCUGUUGCACAGCUGUAAAUUCAGGAAGCCUACUGGUUCAGCUUGAGACACUGACAAUUGGCCAUGCCUUUGUGUAGUAGUAUUUACUACAUGCAGAUGAAUAUAAAAGGAGAUGGCCUGACUUCAUUCAUGGAAGAGUCUGGACCCCACAAGCAGAGCUAUUUGGUACUCUACAGGAGUUUCAGUUGAGUCAUCACCGGAUGCUGAUAUGACUCUUACUCUUUUAACAUGGGAUUGGGAAUAGUCUGCUGACUUAUGAGGAAGGAACAAAGAUAAAGCUCUCAUCAAGAAUGUAGACUCUCCUCCCAUUGAUGACCGACUAGGCCAUCCUCUGCUACAUUUGCAGCUGGAGCCAUGGCUUCCUCUACGUGUACUCUUUGGUUGGUGGUUUAGUCUCUGGGCGAUCCAGGGGUACUGGUUGGUUCAUAUUGUUGUUCCUCCGAUGGGGCUGCAAACCCUUUCAGCUCCUUCAGUCCUUUUUCUAUCUCUUCUAAUGGGGACUUUUUGACAUGGUUGAGUCAAUACUAGGCCCUGUGGUGGGUCUAUCAGCUGAUAUCUGGAUAUUCUCUCUCAAUGGGAACUUGGUUCUGACAAAAAUUUGCCCACCAACCUUCCCUAACAAUAGCUAGAUGUUUAUUGAAAGAUUAGAAAGGUCUUGCUGGGUUGUUGGUUCCAAGAUUGAAUAGGAACAUUCACAGGUAAGCCAAGAAAGAGUAAGGAACUGACUCAGGUUUGCCAGGAGCCCUGGGAGUUAGAGAAAUUAGAUCUCCCGAUUAAGAUAUGGGGAGAUACUAGGUGCCAAUAAUUAAAUCAACAGUUCCUGGGAAUAUAGUUCAUCACCUCUUUCUACUGUAACCACAAAUGCUGCCAACCAUGGUGACUUGGUUAGGAACCAAUAUGCUGUGUUAGAUAUUACCUGUUUCCUGCAGUUAUGUUUCCUCUUUGUUGGAUUCUGUUCACAGGUUGGCAGGAAACUGUAGAGACUGAGGUGGAGAAGGGAGGGGAAAGAAUACACUGUGCACAUUAUUGUUAAAUGUAAAAAGUUCUUUAAAUAGACUGUACAUGAAAACGUGAGAAAUCGAAUGUAAAAUGUUCUCAGCUGUGAAAAAAACAGAUGUAUAAAUAAAGGUGGCCUGAGCUGUCUCCAUGCCAGAGAGUGUGAACUGCACCUCUUGGUCCAAGUCUUCCUUUGCUGAUUCUACAUGUCCUCCUACUGGUGUUGAACACGCCCAGCCUAGACCCAGGCAGUUUUUAUAGUUUCUUAUUAUCUCAUUAUCAUUUGUUCAGAGUUUUCUUCCUCUGAUUUUAACAUAUAAUACAUUAUUUUGUGUGUGUUUGUUUGUACGUAGCAUAGUAGUCCUUUAAUUAAUCUGAACAUUGUUUUGGCUCUUGUUUCAUUGAUUUUUUUUUUGUUGUUGUUGUUCUUUUCUUUCUCUUUUGCAUUAGUCAAUGUUGGCCUUAAUUCCCCAAUCUACCUUCCUCAUUCUUGUUGUUUUGUUUGUUUGUUUGGUUUUAUUUGUUUUCUUGGCAGAAACUGGUUGUUAGUUUGUAACUACAGGGUCCCUGAAACUAUUUGUUUCCCAGACUGGCAACAGAUCCAUGACAAUCUUCUUUCUGUUUCAACUGAGAUUACAAGUGAUCUUCUAUGCCAAGGUCUUCGCUAGAAUUUAUUUUAUUUAUUAUUCUCAAGCAUAUUUUGACAUCUCAGUGUCUGUAUGAAGACAGACGGCUACAGAUAAUGAACACUCUUGAAGUAUUUAUUGGGCUUUUGUUCUACUUGUUUUGAGAACUGUAUAUUUAUCCCAAUUUCUCAUUUGCUGAUGGAUUAUUUGGUUUGUUAGUGUAUUUUUGUUCUUUAUAUAUUUUAAAUAUUAUUCCUCCAUCCAGUGUUAAGUUGGCAAUGCUCUCUGCCCAUAGGUUCCAUAGGUUCUCUCUUCUUUCUGGUAACAUUUUUCUUUUGCUGCACAGGAAAUUUUUGAAUUUCAUUUGUCAGUUCUGUGGAAACAAAAGACAAGAUGUGCUAGUGAUGAUGUGGAAAGUCAGGAAUGGUUCUUCAUUGUGGUAGAAAUGUAAAGUUAACCUCUGUCAGGGAAAAUCAGCAGAAGAGCUCCUCAGAAAAAGAGAAAAGUAAAAUCACGGUAUGAUUUAGCUAUAGCAGUCCUACGUAGACACACCACAAUUUAUGCCUGCUCAUUGCCAUUGCUUCACAGUUCCCAAUAAUAAUGAGAUGAGAUGACCUGGAAAGUCUAUCUGCAGGUGAAUCCAUGACAUAUAUACACAAUGGAUUUCUACUCACCUGUGAAAUUCAAAAUUAUUAAAUUUAUAGGAAAAUGAUCUGAUAUUAGUAAAUAAUAUUAAAUAAAAUGAGAAAUACUCUUUUCUUUUUCAGACCAAGACACAGAACUUGAUUCUCUAGGUUUAGAGUUGAAAAAGUAAACAUGUACAUGAAUAAGAAUUAUUUAGUAAUGGUAAUAGACUGUCUUUAAGAGUUUAUGUAUAACUUGAAUAGUAUUUAAAAGUCUAUAUUAAAAAGUAGCAUUUAAGAACAACUGUUGUACCAAGUGGGGGCCUGAUCUUUAAUCCAUAGUAUUGCAAUUCUGCAAUAGUCUUAGUUUUUCUCUGUUUGACACAUGAUAGAGCUGUUAAAUUUGUUCUUUGGUAUGCACCUGCUGAAUUGAAUGAGGUCUUUUAUUAUUUUUAAUCUCCUCUCCCUUGCAGGUAGCCAUAUAUUUGCUAAUAAUGAUAAUUUCAGAAUUGCACUUUUGUUCCAGAAGAAAUUAGUCCUCAUGUCAAGCUCAUUACAGAUUCCAUACCACUGAAGAAAGAGUAAAAUAUAUUACAUAAAAUUAACAUUUUUACCAUGAUUAAGUGGCAGCAAUCUUGUUCAAAAUGUUAUACAGUCAUUAGCACUAAACUCCUCAGCCCUUGAAGUAUUUAUCCUUCUAACCAGCUUCUAAUCUAUCAUGUAUCUUAAAAUUUUACCUAUCCUUGAUAUGAUAAUGCAUAUAAAUGGGCCAAGUAUUUGUUUUGUAGCUAUUAACUAGACCAAAUGUUUCCAAAGUUUUUCUAACUGAACCUUAUUCUUUUUAUUACUGGAAUGUAUUACAUUUUGUAUAUGUAUGUACACACACACACACACACACACACACACACACACACACACACACAUAUCAUAUUUUAUUUAUCCAUUCAACUACUCAUGGAACACUAAAGCAGUUUUUUUGCCUUUUAGCUAUUGCAAUCAGCACAUCUAAAAUCACUUUUACAGGGCUAUGCUUCCUAUGUGUAGGGUCAUCUCUCAUGGACAAAAGUUGGUGGCUCCUAGGGUCAUUAUGCAUCUGCCUUUCUGAUAAGUCUUCAAACUGUUUUCUGCAGUAUUCACACAACUUACCAAUUUCCAGCAUGAAGUCACCAGGGGUCUAAUUUACAUGUCCUUAAUAGUAUAUGCUAUUUUCUGAUAUAUCUAUUACAGACUCUGGAUUCUUGGUGGUGGAAUUAUAAGCACAUGCUGCAAUAAUCAGUUUUUAAAUAUGAUUCUGGAAAUCUGAAUUCAGACCCUUGUUAAGAACAAGGACAUCAAGAGUUUUGCAGUCAAAUGGAUGGAACUAGAAAAUAUCCUGAGUGAGGUAUCCCAGACCCAAAAGGCCAUGCAUGGUAUAUACUCAGUAAUAAGUGAAUAUUUGCCAAAAAAGUACAGAAUUCCCAGGAUAAAAUCCACAGAACUCAAAACGGUUAACAAGCCAAAGGUCCCAAGUGAGGAUGGAGGGAGAAGAAAGCAGAGAGAAGAGGGAAGGGGGAAACUGGGUGGGAGAGGGGAGCAGAAGGGGCAGGGGAGCAGAGGAACAUGAUCAAGUAUUAGGGGGACAGAAGUGAAGCCCAGAGAGCCCCCAGAAUAAAUGGAAAUGUGCAAUAUCCCACAAUGGGAUGUGAGAGGUGGGAGGACCCUCUAGAAUGUACCAGAGUCCUGGGAGGAGAGAGCCUCAGGACUCAAAAGGAUACCUUAGAUGUAAUGCCCAACAGUGGGGAGAGGG
rnacentral:lncRNA from 1 species